rnacentral:rRNA from 1 species
UACGUAGGUGGCGAGCGUUGUCCGGAUUUACUGGGCGUAAAGGGAGCGUAGACGGUAAUGUAAGUCUGGAGUGAAAGGCGGGGGCCCAACCCCCGGACUGCUCUGGAAACUAUGUUACUAGAGUGCAGGAGAGGUAAGCGGAAUUCCUAGUGUAGCGGUGAAAUGCGUAGAUAUUAGGAGGAACACCAGUGGCGAAGGCGGCUUACUGGACUGUAACUGACGUUGAGGCUCGAAAGCGUGGGGAGCAAACAGG